GAUGAACGCUGGCGGCGUGCCUAAUACAUGCAAGUCGAGCGAACGGACGCGAAGCUUGCUUCUCUGAUGUUAGCGGCGGACAGGUGAGUAACACGUGGAUAACCUACCUAUAAGACUGGGAUAACUUCGGGAAAACGUAGCUAAUACCGGCUAAUCUUUUGAACCGCAUGGUGCAAAAGUGAAAGACGGUCUUGCUGUCACUUAUAGAUGGAUCCGCGCUGCAUUAGCUAGUUGGUAAGGUAACGGCUUACCAAGGCAACGAUGCAUAGCCGACCUGAGAGGGUGGUCGGCCACACUGGAACUGAGCCACGGUCCAGACUCCUACGGGAGGCAGCAGUAGGGAAUCUUCCGCAAUGGGCGGAAGCCUGACGGAGCGACGCCGCGUGAGUGAUGAAGGUCUUCGGUUCGUAAAGCUCUGUUAUGAGGUAAGAACAUAUGUGUAAGGAACUGUGCACAUCUUGACGGUACCUAAUCAGAAAGCCACGGCUAACUACGUG
rnacentral:rRNA from 1 species